GACGGAAGGUGCAAGCGUUGCUCGGAAUCACUGGGCGUAAAGGGUGCGUAGGCGGCCGUGCAAGUCUGGCGUGAAAGCCCCGGGCUCAGCCCGGGAAGUGCGCUCGAAACUGCGCGGCUCGAGUGCCGGAGGGGAGAGUGGAAUUCCUGGUGUAGCGGUGAAAUGCGUAGAUAUCAGGAGGAAUACCGGUGGCGAAAGCGACUCUCUGGACGGCAACUGACGCUGAGGCACGAAGGCUAGGGGAGCAAACGGG
rnacentral:rRNA from 1 species